CUUGGGAGCCCGGGAACUCUGACCUGAGCCCCUCUUGCUCCCUGAGCCCCUUUCUACUUUAACCGGGCUCGGGGGCUGUUGCCAAGGGGGUGCUCUUUGAGAUGAUGCUUUUUCACGCGCAGGGAAGAGGAGCCGCGCGCUCCGAAAGCGCCUUGCCGACCUCAGCGCCCUGGCUCUCUGCGCGCCGCGCCGCCGCCCCUCCGCCCCUCCGUGCCGCCCAGCGCCGCGCGUGGAGAGCCCGAGCGGGAGUAUCUCCCUGGGCCGGAGCUCGGUCCGCGGCACGAUCCUGAUCUCAUCUUGUCCGGUUUCCGUGCCGAGGGGCGAGAAACGGAAGGUCCACCCUCUCCACCUCUCCUCAUCGCCCCCCCCACCCCGGGGAACUCGCCGAAUGCAGCCUGGAGGGGAUUGUGAAAUAACCAGGCAGUGGGCGAGGGUGCGGGACACGCUACCUCCGGACUCCGGCAACUUUGGCAGUCUCGGGAACACUUCUGCUCCCCCAGGGCAGUUUUCUUGGCCUGUGCGGAGCGCGGGGUGUCCGAAUUCCUAGCACUAACUGCGAAGACCCUCUUUCCUUCCCCAGCCCCUUUAAGGACAUCUGAUCUUCAGCCUCAAACUUCCUCCUCUAGCCUAAAGGCUUCGUAGGCCGCGGAGAGCGACCCCCAGGCGAGGCCGAGAAGAGAGAGCGCUAGUAUGGGGGUCACUCGUCACCGGAACCAGGGCGCCCAGAGGGAGCUGCGGCCCUGCGGGUCCAGACCCUCGUGCGCUGUUCCCAGGAGGGGGCCCCCGGGGUUACGCGCGGGGCAUGUUGCCGCGCCUUAAGCAGGCGUUCCCUUUUCCAGAUCAUAUUCCCAUAAAAUCUAAAGCCAGAUGCAUCGCUUGGGCAAAUUCUCAUUUCAUCGCGAAAAGCAAAGAUUUGU